rnacentral:ribozyme from 1 species
AGAAAGAGAGAGAGGAAAAAAAAAAAAAAGAGUCAUCAACAUGAAACGGAUUUGAGUAGGUUAAUAUGUCUCUCUCAACCUCUCUCUCUCUCUCUCUCAUCUCUCAUA